UUGCAUGAAAUUCGUAGAAAUUUAUCACCCAUUACUUCUAGUGUUGUUCCUUGUUGUUUUAAGUAUUUUUAAGAUGUUUUGGAGUGUUUAAGUGUGUUUUGACAUAAAAAUCCGAAAAUUCAUAAAAAUUUGAAAACUUGUUUUUGAAAAUCCAAAAAAGAGUUGUUUUUGUGCGCUUAUUUGUGUCUUAGGGUACCUUCCAACACA
rnacentral:lncRNA from 1 species